rnacentral:lncRNA from 1 species
UUUCUUACCAUAUUAAUAGUUCGAAUCGAAAGUUGUGGAUUCACAAAACUUCAAAUGCAAGCUCAAGAGAGGAAACUCAAAGUCUAAGCAUCCAUUAUUCAAGACACCCUCAGUAUGACUAACUGCAGCAUUCAACUUCAAGAUUUGCAAGCCAUUUUGGAAACUGCUUAACCUGCUCUCCCAGAAAGGUUUUGAUCAAGAUACAAGACAAAUCUCCAUAAUUCUAGGGAUUAGCUCAAAUAACGUGUACUAUUAUUGUGUUUUCUUAACACUACUUUAUUUUCAGAACGAUUUUUAACCUAGAAGCUAUGCGCACCCCAUCCCCCAAAUAUUUUCCUUAACAGAGAAAUGAAACUGUAGCAGCACAAGUCACCCAAACAUUUGAUAUUGAGACAUAGUCCUAUUUAUUUCCCCUUGUAAUUAAUAGUAAUUUAUACAAAAUUAAGCAUAACUCAUCAUGUCAGUGAAUAU